CAAAAGCAUUUUUUUUCCCAUCACAAGUUUUAUUAGUUUCCUUGGUCCGAAAUCUGUCAGGAAGGGCAAAUUGUGAGAAGAAGACACCUGUGUUUUCCGUAAAGUCAAUUUGAUGUUUCAAAUGCCACUUUUCCUAAAUUCAUGGACUAGCUGGGCACAAGAGGGGGACUUUGCCGCCUUUCAAUAUGCUAAGUUGAUAAAGGAUGUUCACAUUUUCAGCAUCAAAACCAUUUCUAUAACCCCUAUUGCUACAGACUUGUGACUGGAAGACAAUUGAAAGCCAACAAAGAUUGUUUAAUCCAGGAAUUUGAAGCAAUAAUGGGUCACAAAGGAAAGCGGUAUUCCUCAUCCUCUUCUGAGAUGACUAGUAGUGACUCUUCCAGAGAAAACUCACUUUCCAGAGAUCAUGGAAGAAACAGGCAAGCAGAGAAAAGGAAAGCAAGUCACUCAAGAGAAAGAAGUAAACUCAAGGAAAAGAAAAGAAAGAGACACAGAUCAAGCAGUUCUAGUAGGUCUUCAUCUUCGUCGUCUUCUUCUUCUUCAUUGCGUCAAAGAGAUAAUGGAGCUAAAAAGAGCCUGAUGAAGAAGAUCAAGAAAAAGAAGUACUCAUCAUCAGAGAGCAGCAGUAGCAGUAGCUCUUCAGAUUCAGGGAGCAGUGACUCUGAUAGUUCAUCAAGUGAUUCAAGUCUUGAACGACAGAAGAAGAGAAAGAAGCAGAAAGAGAACAAAAAAGGAAAGAAACAUAAACAAAUGAAGAAGAAUAAGAAAAAGGAAUCGUCCAAGAAGAGCAGAAGCCCUGUCAGGUUAUCCACUCUUUCUUUUCUUUUGUACCCUCUUUCAUUCUGUCGCUCCCUUUCUCUUUCUCUUUUUUGGAGUCGUAUUUGUCACUCUGCUCAUGUUUGGUCUGCCUACGUGUGAUGACGGUGAUGACUGCAGUACUUGAACGAUGAAAAAGACGUAGGUAGGAGCGUGGUGUCUGGUCAGAAGAUUAAAAUGAAAGUCAGAAAGACUAGCCAGGAUAAAGCGCGUGAAAAGAACAGGGAACAAUUGCUCCAGUUUCUGAAUUCAACCAGGAAUUGAGAGGAGAUUGAAGCCUGCAAAGAUAAUUGAUCUUCAAAAUCUUGUGAUUGAGGAGAAAAAAUAUGCAUUACCGGCUGUCAUCAUGGUGAUUGAAAGAGUGAAUGAACAGAGGAACUUGAGAAAAACAAUCUUGAGAGGGAAGAAAAACUUGAUAGGACACAUCUUACGGGGGAUAACAUGCUGAGUGACAUCUUAGAAGGGAACAUGGAUGGUAAACAGGGAAAAGGAAGACCAUGAAUUGGGGUGGUGUCAGACUUGAUAAGUAAUAGAACAUAUGACACAAUGAAGAAGGCGGCUAAAGAUAUAGAAGAACGGUGAGGGAACUAAAGAGGGCUCUGGUGUGUGGAAAACACCUGUGAGGAUCAGCUGUCGUAAUUGCUUUCAACUGAGACUUUUUGUCAAAUUAGAUUUGAUUUAGAGGUGGAAUGUAUGCGAAAUCAAUCAAUCAUUCUUAGUGUAAUAAUGCAUUUUAAGUGUACCAGUAUACUUGACUUUGACGCUGUUGUCUUUCAGAAUCCGAAGUCCAUUAUUUACAAACUGCAUUGAAGUUUAAAUGAAUAUUUGGUCUGUUUGGAGCCAGAAGGGCGUUAACUUAUAUAAUCUAACACAACAUUCUGGCUCUGAACAUACGAUUUGAUUGUUAUUUUUCACCGGAAAUAAACCCGUGGAAUGGAAUGGUGCUCAGUGGCCAUGUUUUCUCUUCCCAUUUAAAUUCUAUGUACUAGCUUGUACUAGGGAUUGUAGAGAGUGUAGCAUUGUGUAGAAAUAAGAGACUAUUGUUUAAUGUUAGCCCAACAUAUUUAGGGGAACAUAAAAACUGACUAAUUAUGUGCCUCAUAGCUAGUGUACAAGUCUGCAAUGUCCUGAAUGGUUUCACGCUUUAAGCUCCCUAGUCAAAAAAUAAUAGUCUGAAGCUAGCAGAAAAACAGUUAGAAAAGUAUAUUUUCUUUUAAAAAUGCACAGAAUUUUUGUUUUUUGACUAUUUUCAACUCUGAAUAUAUUUUUCAUGUAUGUUUUUGUUCCAAAUCCUUAGCCUUAACAAUUUUUUGUCCAUUUUUCUAUUUAAAAAAAGAAGAAAUUACAUGUAGUCUAGUUUGUAAGAAAUAUCAUGAAAAUAUUUUUUUAAAGCCAAGAAAUAUAUAUCUCGCAUGUGAAAAUGACCAUGGUUAAUCUGUCAAAUAUGACGAGUCUGACAUUCUUUGUGAUCUGCCUGCCAAAUUGCAAAGACUAAGUUCUAAGGUCUAAUGUGUGUUCUUUAAGUCGCCUUAGACUGUUUAGUAGAAUAUGAGCCAGAGGUAUUUCCUUAACUUUUCAUCAUCAACUUCAGGUGGCGCUGUAAAGCGCUGCUGUGGCCUUCACAAGAGCACGCCAUGCAACUCUUUCACCUGCCAUUUGUGUUGCACCUUUCAUUCCUUGUCCAGACACUUUCUUAAUAUCACCAGUCCAAGAUAUUGGUAGACGACCUCUAUCACAUAUGCUUCCAAUAUGUUCAUUUGAACCAAAUUCAUGACCCCAUACCAAAACUUUGUAUUACCCUUAAUAUUGGUAAUGAGCAGCCUGUGUUUAUCCAUUUCUCUAUUAAACCAAUUUCGAAUAUAGAUUGUAAGCAUUAUAGAUGAUUGAGUACUGAAUUUUUCAAAUGCAAAUCCUGACCUGCAUUUCUUGACUACAUAUUUUUUGUGAUACUUCCAUUACAGGGUGUAUUUGUGAGCAAGUGACUUGUUUCAUACCUUGCAUGUUAGUUUGAAUAAUGUGAGAAUAAUUUUGCUCUUUUAUUAUAUCUGCAUUAUUGCUGAAAAAUGGGUACAACUUCAAACAAUUUUACAUUAAGUAGCAAGUUGCAUGUAAAUUUUCCAAUAAUAAAUGGCUAAUUUGGCCUUUCUUUUGAUUAUAGAUUUGGUUCCCUCUUCUCAUGGUAGAAAUGUUUCAAGUUUGGUUAUUAUAUUUCUCUCUUCUUUAUUGCUUAUUCCGUACCCUGAUAAUGUAACUUGUGGAUCUGUCUGUUUAAACAAAUCUAGCAAGAACAGGUAUUACUACUUACAUGUAGUCCCAGGAAGUGAGAUAGGAAAUUUACAGUUUAAUGGAAGAUAAAAUGUAACUUAUUGCAACAAACAUUUUGAAUGUGUUUAUGAACCUCACAGAUGUUCUAGACUGAAGAAUGAUCUAAAAGUUUUCUUAACAUUUGAUUGUAAUGACAACAUUAAUCAAUAUUCAUUUCUUUUUCCAUUGAAAUAAAAUAAGAGGAGAGUGAAACUGGACAUGAAAUAUUUCGCAGGGAUUUCCAAUAAUGGUAGAGAUUAGAGAGGGAUUAAUGUACAUGUAUAGAUCACACCUCUUAUUUCUCCAAGCAGUUCAAAACUUUGUAGUAAAAACUCUGAUAUAUUGAGGUAAUUAUGCUGGCCCCAGCUCUUUAUAAUCUAUGUUACCCUGAUAUGAAAAGAUAGCUGGUAAAGCAAGGUCAUUUUCAUGGUCCCAAACUCCCAAUGUCUUUGUUUCCACUGAAUCUCCUUUCUAACAUUAAAACAUGUUCAAUACUUUAUUGUAAGCAUCUAGAUAAAUUUUAUGAUGGGGUUUUCUAUCAUCUUUGUAAAUAGUUAACCUCGUUUUGUACCAUAAAUACUGUAAAAAUAAAGUCUGUACAUUGUUAAAUUUA